rnacentral:rRNA from 1 species
CCUACGGGAGGCAGCAGUAGGGAAUAUUGCUCAAUGGGGGAAACCCUGAAGCAGCAACGCCGCGUGGAGGAUGAAGGUUUUCGGAUUGUAAACUCCUUUUGUUAGAGAAGAUAAUGACGGUAUCUAACGAAUAAGCACCGGCUAACUCCGUGCCAGCAGCCGCGGUAAUACGGAGGGUGCAAGCGUUAAUCGGAAUCAUUGGGCGUAAAGAGCGCGUAGGCGGGAUAGCAAGUCAGAUGUGAAAGCCUAUGGCUUAACCAUAGAACUGCAUUUGAAACUGUUAUGCUAGAGUAUGGGAGAGGUAGGUGGAAUUCUUGGUGUAGGGGUAAAAUGCGUAGAGAUCAAGAGGAAUACUCAUUGCGAAGGCGACCUGCUAGAACAUAACUGACGCUGAUGCGCGAAAGCGUGGGGAGCAAACAGGAUUAGAUACCCCAGUAGUC